GACACGACUCUCGACAAUGGAUAUCUUGGCUCUUACAUCGAUGAAGAGCGCAGCGAAAUGCGAUACGUGGUGCGAAUUGCAGAAUCCCGCGAACCAUCGAGUCUUUGAACGCAAGUUGCGCCCGAGGCCAGCAGGCCAAGGGCGCGUCCGCCUGGGCGUCAAGC
rnacentral:rRNA from 1 species